AGUGAACGCUGGCGGUGGGCCUAACACAUGCAAGUCGAACGGCAGCACAGUAAGAGCUUGCUCUUACGGGUGGCGAGUGGCGGACGGGUGAGGAAUACGGCGGAAUCUACUUUUUCGGGGGGGAUAACGUAGGGAAACUUACGAUAAUACCUCAUACGACCUACGGGUGAAAGCAGGGGAUCUUCGUACCUUGCCCGAUCGAAUGAGCCGGUGUCGGAUUAGCUAGUUGGCGGGGUAAAGGACCACCAAGGCGAUGAUCCAUAGCUGGUCUUGGAGGAUGGAUCAGCAACACUGGACUGGGGACAGGGUCCAGCCUCUUACGGGGGGCACCAGAGGGGAUUAUUGGACAAUGGGGGCAAGCCUGACCCAGCAAGCCCGGGUGGUGGAAGAAGGUCUUCGGGUUGUAAACCCCUUUUGUUGGGAAAGAAAAGCAGCAGGGUAAUACCCCGAUGUUCUGACGGUACCCAAAGAAUAAGCACCGGCUAACUUCGUG
rnacentral:rRNA from 1 species